rnacentral:rRNA from 2 species
CUUUAUUGGAGAGUUUGAUCCUGGCUCAGGAUGAACGCUGGCGGCGUGCCUAAUACAUGCAAGUCGAGCGAAUGGAUUAAGAGCUUGCUC